rnacentral:rRNA from 1 species
CCUACGGGAGGCUGCAGUGGGGAAUAUUGGACAAUGGGGGCAACCCUGAUCCAGCCAUGCCGCGUGUGUGAAGAAGGCCCUCGGGUUGUAAAGCACUUUCAGUGAGGAAGAACGCCUGGUGGUUAAUACCCAUCAGGAAAGACAUCACUCACAGACGAAGCACCGGCUAACUCCGUGCCAGCAGCCGCGGUAAUACGGAGGGUGCGAGCGUUAAUCGGAAUUACUGGGCGUAAAGCGCGCGUAGGUGGCUUGAUAAGCCGGUUGUGAAAGCCCCGGGCUCAACCUGGGAACGGCAUCCGGAACUGUCAAGCUAGAGUGCAGGAGAGGAAGGUAGAAUUCCCGGUGUAGCGGUGAAAUGCGUAGAGAUCGGGAGGAAUACCAGUGGCGAAGGCGGCCUUCUGGACUGACACUGACGCUGAGGUGCGAAAGCGUGGGUAGCAAACAGGAUUAGAUACCCUUGUAGUC